rnacentral:rRNA from 1 species
GAACUUAGCAGAGAUGCUUUGGUGCCUUCGGGAACUCUGAGACAGGUGCUGCAUGGCUGUCGUCAGCUCGUGUUGUGAAAUGUUGGGCUAAGUCCCGCAACGAGCGCAACCCUUAUCCUUUGUUGCCAGCGGCUCGGCCGGGAACUCAAAGGAGACUGCCGGUGAUAAACCGGAGGAAGGUGGGGAUGACGUCAAGUCAUCAUGGCCCUUACGGCCAGGGCUACACACGUGCUACAAUGGCGCAUACAAAGAGAAGCGACCUCGCGAGAGCAAGCGGACCUCAUAAAGUGCGUCGUAGUCCGGAUUGGAGUCUGCAACUCGACUCCAUGAAGUCGGAAUCGCUAGUAAUCGUAGAUCAGAAUGCUACGGUGAAUACGUUCCCGGGCCUUGUACACACCGCCCGUCACACCAUGGGAGUGGGUUGCAAAAGAAGUAGGUAGCUUAACCUUCGGGAGGGCGCUUACCACUUUGUGAUUCAUGACUGGGGUGAAGUCGUAACAAGGUAGGCGUAGCGAG